rnacentral:rRNA from 1 species
UGGGGAAUAUUGGACAAUGGGCGAAAGCCUGAUCCAGCCAUGCCGCGUGUGUGAAGAAGGUCUUCGGAUUGUAAAGCACUUUAAGUUGGGAGGAAGGGCAGUAAGCGAAUACCUUGCUGUUUUGACGUUACCGACAGAAUAAGCACCGGCUAACUCUGUGCCAGCAGCCGCGGUAAUACAGAGGGUGCAAGCGUUAAUCGGAAUUACUGGGCGUAAAGCGCGCGUAGGUGGUUCGUUAAGUUGAAUGUGAAAGCCCCGGGCUCAACCUGGGAACUGCAUCCAAGACUGGCGAGCUAGAGUAGGGCAGAGGGUGGUGGAAUUUCCUGUGUAGCGGUGAAAUGCGUAGAGAUAGGAAGGAACACCAGUGGCGAAGGCGACCCCCUGGGCUCAUACUGACACUGAGGUGCGAAAGCGUGGGGAGCAAACAGG